GAAGAGUUUGAUCAUGGCUCAGAUUGAACGCUGGCGGCAGGCCUAACACAUGCAAGUCGAGCGAGAAAGGUCUUCGGACUGAGUACAGCGGCGGACGGGUGAGUAACGCGUAGGAAUCUACCCAGUAGUGGGGGAUAGCCCGGGGAAACUCGGAUUAAUACCGCAUACGCCCCAAGGGGGAAAGGCGGGGAUCUCUUCGGAGACCUGUCACUAUUGGAGGAGCCUGCGUUGGAUUAGCUAGUUGGUAAGGUAAUGGCUUACCAAGGCGACGAUCCAUAGCUGGUCUGAGAGGAUGAUCAGCCACACUGGAACUGAGACACGGUCCAGACUCCUACGGGAGGCAGCAGUAGGGAAUAUUGCACAAUGGGCGAAAGCCUGAUGCAGCCAUGCCGCGUGUGUGAAGAAGGCCUUCGGGUUGUA
rnacentral:rRNA from 11 species